AAAUUUUGUUUGGUCUUUUAACACUUUACCGACCGCUAGCAGUUCAACAGCAUACGCACGUCCGACCGGCAGUUCAGGCGCAGAUUCUCCCUGGCGCCGGUUCUGUUUCGGUUUAGACUCUCCAAUACCAUUCUUUUCGUACAUCGCGAACGGUAAGUUUUU